ACAUAUAUGAUCAAUUAUGACAUAGGAGCCAAGAACAUACAAUGAGGAAUGCAUAGUUUUUUCAAUAAAUAGUGUUGGGAAAACUGGACAGCCCCAUGCAAAAGAGUGAAGCUAGACUGCUCUGUUACACCAGACA